CAAUUGAUAUCAAGUCUUUGUGCAAGCCUUGGAUAAUGAGUUGUCCACGGACACAUGAAACUUUAGCAAACUUCCAAGUCAGCAGUGAAUGUAACAGUUUCAGCAAGCUUCCAUAAAUAUUAUCUUACUUCCUAUGUUGCAUUCCUCAGACCAUUCAACAAUUUGAUAACUGGAUAGAAAUUGAGAGACAGAGCAGCCAGUCCAAAAGCUUUCAAAAUCACUGCCCCUCCUUGACCUUUUUGAACUGCUGCAGUCCGUGUGGUGAAGCCCUGCCCAGAUUGCUGUUUGGACAACCAGAAUUGGACACAGUCCUGCAGAAGAGGCCUUACCAACGGACUGUACGACCUCAACAUGAUGUCCCAACUUCUCUGCACAAUGGUCUGAGCAAUGAAGGGAAUUGGAAAGGAUUUACAGACAGGCAGCUCAAGUCAAAAAUUGGAUCAACAGCUGCCAGUAACACUUAAUUCUCGAGAGCUUUGAACGUGGAAGAAAAAAGCAUCGUUCACAGUGAAGAGAAACCAUACAGGUGGUCUGUGUGGACAAGCUUUCAGUCAAUUGUCUGGCCUGUCGAUACCUAAAUGCAGUCAAAACAGGAUGACAACAAUGACAUCAAGCAGCACUUGCUUUGCAAUCUCACAGUGAUGGAUCUCAGUUUGAGUUAAGCAAGGGCCACUCAUCUCCUGAUCUCCUUACAUUUUUGGUGCAAACAUGGACCAAACAGCUGAAUUCCAAAUGAGUGUGACUUUCCUGCCAUCUUAAGGCUCUAUUUGACAGAGCAUUUUAUCAAGGAAUCAUAGCAAAACUAGAGUCAACGGGAUUCAGAGAAUAUUAUUCUCGCUUUGAUUGUGGGUUUUUGAAAAGAUUGCGUCUUCAGACCUGAAUAGAUCAAAACAAGGUGAAUUUAUUCGAGCUUGUACCACAUAUUUGCGGAAGAGGUCUCCUAGUCUAGCUUGGAGAUACUCUACCAUUUACAGCUCAAAACAGCAUAUUGAGACGUUUUCAUGUCAGGAUGGUUGUAUAUAACAUUGGCAUAAAAUAAAUUAGAUAAGUCAUUUACUACAAAAACAGG